GAAUAGGGACAAUCCGCAGCCAAGCGCUAAGUGCCCGAAAGGGGCAUAUGCGUGCAGUUCACAGGCCAAAUGGUAGUGGGCACACGGACCUCCCCGUGUGCUUAAGAUAUGGUCGAGUCCCAAUCGAGAGAUUGGGUACGAGUACUCUGCUACUUUAAAAAACAAAACACUGUUCCGUAGGUGAACCUGCGGAAGGAUCAUUAUUGAAUAGCGCGCAUGCGCUCAUUCUCCGGCUGUGCGCCCUCGGGCUGCACGCCUGGAUCUACAACACCUGUGCAUGUUUCGUUCGGUCGGCUCGGCCGUUCGCCUUUCAUCAACAUCUGUAUUGAAUGUCCAUAUUAUAUAUAAAUACAACUUUCAGCAACGGAUCUCUUGGCUCUCGCAUCGAUGAAGAACGCAGCGAAAUGCGAUAAGUAAUGUGAAUUGCAGAAUUCAGUGAAUCAUCGAAUCUUUGAACGCACCUUGCGCCCCAUGGUAUUCCGUGGGGCAUGCCUGUUUGAGUGUCACGUGAAACCUCACACGCCGUGAUGUCAAAGUCACGUCGGGUGGAUUUGGACCGUGCCGUAGUUGGCUCGUCCUGAAAUGCAUUAGCCUGGUCGUCGGACCGAAAGGCCGUGGUGUGAUAAUCUAUCUGCGCCAAUAAGUGCCCGAGGUGUAAUU
rnacentral:rRNA from 1 species